ACAGCGCCUUCUCUACGAGGCUCAUUGACGCCCCUCUCUUUUUCUUUCACUCUUUCUUUCUUCCUUUCUCUUUCUUGCCUUGCUCUUCCUGAGUUAUUCUUGUUACCCUACCUUUUGGUAGCUGCCUGCGGGACUAUCUUCGGGAUGACUUCUUUUCCUCUUCUCUUUCCUAUCUCACUUUUCUAAGUGUUAUCUAACACCAACAAUAAUUGGUAACACUCGAACAUAAUAGAAUUUUCUGCUCUGAUGUGAAACAGUUAAAAUUGUUAUGUGACUUAUUAAACUUCUUUAAUUGUUUUCUGGAGGGUUCAGCCUGAGAUCUUAAUCGCGUUUUCUGUCAUGUAGGUGUACUAGCACCGGUGGUGGAAAAUGGGCAAGCUAUGCAUGUGAGCGGGUUCAAGAGGAGUUAAGCAAACAUUCUUCUGUAUUCAUCACCAAACGAGGCCAAAUCGACACAGAAAGAAAAUCGCUGCCGAUUGAACUGUGGGUGAAGCGCGUGACCUAUGGUGGUGCACUGGAGCCAGAUGUUGAAGAAUGGAUCAGUAUGAAUAUGUUUGUGGUCCAGCAAGGCUUGGCAAUCCCGGACCGAACAUUCCAAAAGUACAUUGCUCCUGCAGAAGACUUGCUCCACGAUUUGAAACAAAUGCAGCACGAAAGUUCCAGCAAUAUCAAUAGCAGAUCAUACGUUGUGUCGUGGCUGCAGGACCAGGACGGACAGUCUGGAACAUCGUCCAUGGAGUUGAAAACUAUGCAGGUUAAAAAGAAGAAAAAGAAUACAAGCGCAUUAGUCCAAGAAAUCUCGGUAGAUUGGAAGCCACCUGCACCUCUGGAUGAUCUCGAUUUGGAUAUCAUACCCACCUUUGUGGAUGAAAAUAACUUUAUCUAUUUCCACGAGCUGAGUCGAGAGGACACCCUGAAGCAGAUCGAACAAGCCCUGCUUGUCCAGUACAAAAAUUCAAAGCCGCAACCUCAGGACAUGUUUUGGUACGCCGGACAGCUGUGCAUUGCGCAAUAUCACUCGAAUGGGCUUUGGUAUCGUGGAAAAAUCAUCAAGGUGACGAGUGAUAGCACCUAUCAAGUCCAGUUCGUUGACUAUGGGAACGUAGAGGAUGUCAAAGCAAGCGAGUUGCGGAAGCGAGUGUUUUAACAGAAGUCCCAACGUUCUGCCAUGUCCUCGCUUUGCACAAUGUGAGAGCAGUGUCUGAAGACGGGAGAUGGCAGACAAACGUCCUCGACUUGUCCACGCCAAUGUUGUCGAGAAAGUAUGCCGAGUAAAGCUUCAAUAUCCAGAAAAGGAUGGGGCACCUUUUCUUGCACUAUCUUCGCCCCGCCUGGAGGCAUUGAACUGGUUGAUAUUCUUGUUGGCUUGGGUUAUGCUAUCCGAGGAGGUGUCUCUGAAGAGGAAAGCUCCACCAUCUCAGAAGACUCGGAUGAUGAUGUUGUCGUUGUUUCAUCCCAAAACAAAGAAUCUGAUGAAGAAAUGAGGCUGGUCUAGAGGUAAACCCACCAGAAUUUUGUUACGUUUAUUCUGACUGUGCUCCAUUUGACUUCAACUUCUCAAGUUGAAAGCAAUAUCAGGGAGUCCAGUGAUUGAGAAUUUUAGUAACAAAUGUAGAAUGAGGUGGACUAGAGAAAAAAGUGAGAAAACCAGAGAAUUUAAGACCUGUACUAGGAAUUCGUUUUUGAAAUGUUGCAUGAUGCAUGUGGUUGCGACUAAGAGUACAAGUAACUGAUAGGUGGUAUCAUGGCAAGUUUGCACAGUAUUGUCAAGCAGAUGAUCAGCAGAAGUAACUAAAUUGUUGCAAAUUGCUAGUUGCCAGAUGGAAGAAAUGACAUGCUUUUUAUCUUCUCCCGCCUUUUUUUGGUAUUGUUUUUUACCUUAAAUUUUUUAGGUUACCUCAAUCUUAGGUUGCUUUGGUGUCCAUCAGCUUGUUUUAGAAUUUCUCUCCUUUCUUUUUUAACAAGCAUUAAAAUCAGAAAAAAGCAAUCGUAUAAUUGAAGAAAUGGAAUACUUAGUUUCCAGAGGGUAUACUUCUAUUUGAGCCAUUAGUCUUAGCUGAACUGAGUUUCAAUCACUGAAAUUUCAGCCAUUUCCUCCUAGAGCCGGUCACCUCAAGAGUUUUCAGAUUAUUAAUUACUGUAACAGCUAAGUGGCAGUUAUCUUUGACUUCUUCAGCAUUAAUGACCCCAAUUAAAGGACCUAGCCAGAAGUCGUAAGAUUCUUAUUUUAUCUUGCUUUUUUAUCAAUUUAGUGUAAUUUCUUUAUUUGAAUACCACAAUCAAGUUUGUUAGAGGAACUUGAUGCAGCAAUCAAUUAAGUGAAAACAUUAAAUAGAGACCAAUCCUCAAUUUUGAUUUUCCCUAUCUUGUUUAAUGCUGAUAGCUUGGAGUAGCUCUUUUCUGUUCAAUUCACCAAUUGUUCAGUUUUAAAUUCAUUAGGUUUUGAAGGUCGUAUUGACGGUGACAUUCUACUUCACUCGAAACAGACUGUCAAUACUGUCUGAUUAACUGUUCUUAUUUUUACAGAAUCUUCUCUCUCCACCCAGUGAAUCAAUUGACAAUAUUGUCGCUUCCAUCAUGAAGCCAAGAGAGAUAGACCUCCGAAGUCUCUCUCCGUUCCAGCAAGUCAGAUGGUGCUUCGAACAAGUCCAGAAAUUCUUUGGUAGACUUCACUUCAUCCCCCCCUGAUUCGCGAAUUCUAGAUAUCCCGAGAGACCCUUCAGUUGUGUCAGAACUAUCCAUUGAGUCUGUUAUAGCAGAAUCUAGUAUUUUUGCUGAAAGUUUGUCCCUUUCCGUCCUAGAUAUGAAGGAACAUCAAAAGUAAGUCUAUUUUUCCCCUCUUUUUCAUGGCACUUAUAUUUCAGUAAAAAUUGAAAUUGAAUUUAGAAACUGAGAUCCUCUUCUAAAUCAUUUAGUUUAAUUCAAUCAUUUAAUUUAGUUUCAAGAACCUCCUUUUCUCCUGCAAAAUGCAUCAGUUUGGAAAGGAAUCAAUGAAUCUCCUACCUCCAUUAAGAGUAUGGAUUAGAGAUUGGAUUUUGUCGUUAUUUAUUCCUGCUUUUGCUGUUAUUUUUCACCAUUUUCGAUGUUAUUUUUGCUGAUUUCGACAGCUGAUUUUUGCAGCGCUUUUUGCAUUUAACAUCUUUAAAUAAAGCUUUUAAUUUGAUUUAAUGAGCCAUCGCUCAGUCUCUCUAGUUCUAUUUUAAAGAAGCACUGACGCUGUAGCCAAUGACAAUCAAUGCUCAAGAGCGACUCUGUAAUUUCUUUAUUUAAAAAAAGAAGCGUGGCAAAUUUCGUCUUACACGCCAUGUAUACGUAAAUUUCACGAAAAUGUACGGAUUUUGCCGAUUUUGCGGUGAAUUUCGUGGAUUCCGAGCAAUUUCGCGUUUAUUCCGGAAAAUGGCCGAUUUUGCGUUAUUUCGCUUUAUAUUUUCGUGAUCAGGUAGUUAUAAUAGGUGCUUCUAUCUGAUUUUCAGAUUCCUAAGCACAUUUUAAAAAUUUCGUGGCAGCAAAAUUUUCCAAUCUCUAAAGAUAACUUUAAAUACUAAACCCAGACAAUUAAAUAAUGAAGCACUGAGUUUAAAAUGGAAUACUUUUUGCAUGUACAGUAAAAGUGGGAUAAAUGGUACCCAGAUAAGUUGGUGACCCACCUGUAUUGGUGGAAUCACUUGGUCCUAUUCGUCACCCAUAAUACAACGCCAAAAAAGUCAAGACAACUAAUGCUUGCAUAUACUUUUAUACGCAAGGCAUUUAUCCUCAAAGCACUGUAUUCUAACAAUUUUUCCAUCAACAAUGAUGGUUCUUAGGCUGAAAAUGAAAAGCGGUGCCCAAUUUUGAUAACCCUCGAAGAGCUUGAGCAUCAUUAUCCCAUAAGAAUUACGGCUCUGGACAAUCUCCCCUGUAACCUAAAUGCAUCUUGGCAGAUUUUUUUCUUCACUACUAUUUUUUAGUACUCAAGCCGGGAAUUAUGCCCACUCCUAAGCCAUAGUGCUCCUAGUCCCGCAUAAAUGCAUCUUUUACGUCUUUUAGCUAAAUUUUCAUGUAAGGUGUAAAUUGUCCUUUUCUCUUUAUCUUCCCAUACAGUUAUACUGUAACUGAUGAUUUGCGACUUUAUUAUCUGUUUCAGGAGGAGCUAGAAGUCACCUGUUUACUGUCACACAAAUCAUUCAAUGAG
rnacentral:lncRNA from 1 species